CAGAAAAGACAGGGGCUCCAUCUCAUUUGCAUGCAGAGAAUGACUGCCUAGGCUGCCUCAAACAUUCAUCUCAGACCAGAGGACAAUCCUUUCUGAGCUGCUGAGGAAACGGAGGCCCAUCGAGGGUCAUGGUUUGCCCAAGGACAUAGAACAUGUGGUACAGUCUGGCUCACAGCCCAGGGGACCCUGGUGCUUUGGCCCAUAUGUUCACACCCAACAUUCUCAUAAGACUAACCCCGAACAGCUGCUUAGAACUCAUUACCUACCUCUAAACUUCAAUGCCAGCUAAUGAAAUCUGGAACCGGCAUAGCCCUGCAGGCUACAGUACUGACCAAGGAAGUGAAUGUACACAGCUGUGGCCAGGGACUUAGCCUGGGGAGUGUCAGAGCUUCACCCCACAUCACAACUGCACUCAACCCACAUCUAUACCUGGUGUAGCCCUUGGUGUGCGGUGUGUGCUUGGCAGAGGGAAUAAUGAUCCAGCAACGUGGCUGAAAUGUAGCUCCCACAGUGCUCUCUGCCAGCUCGCCCUGACUUGAGUUGGAAUCUCCUAUGCUGGGAAUGUGUAUAAAAGACGCUUGAGUGUACUUAUCAUGGGGGUUCUUCUCCUUUUUCUGGGGCCCACUAGGGUAGAACUUGUACCUGACUCACACAUGUGGAGUGAGUGAAUAAAUGAGCAGAUAGCUCCAAACUAGA